GGGGUAAGGACAUUUGGACCCUGUGCUGGGACAUGGAAGUGGAUGUGGUCGCUGAUGGUGCUUGCUAAGGUCCAGGUGCAGGGCGGGAGGCAUCCAAGGCUGCACCUUCGACAGGAGAUCGGCUAGCACAUCUCAUUAUAUUAGCAU